rnacentral:rRNA from 1 species
AGUGAACGCUGGCGGUAGGCCUAACACAUGCAAGUCGAACGGCAGCACAGUAAGAGCUUGCUCUUACGGGUGGCGAGUGGCGGACGGGUGAGGAAUACAUCGGAAUCUACUUUUUCGUGGGGGAUAACGUAGGGAAACUUACGCUAAUACCGCAUACGACCUACGGGUGAAAGCAGGGGAUCUUCGGACCUUGCGCGAUUGAAUGAGCCGAUGUCGGAUUAGCUAGUUGGCGGGGUAAAGGCCCACCAAGGCGACGAUCCGUAGCUGGUCUGAGAGGAUGAUCAGCCACACUGGAACUGAGACACGGUCCAGACUCCGACGGGAGGCAGCAGUGGGGAAUAUUGGACAAUGGGCGCAAGCCUGAUCCAGCCAUACCGCGUGGGUGAAGAAGGCCUUCGGGUUGUAAAGCCAUUUUGUUGGGAAAGAAAAGCAGCAGGUUAAUACCCCGCUGUUCUGACGGUACCCAAAGAAUAAGCACCGGCUAACUUCGUG